rnacentral:rRNA from 1 species
AUUGAACGCUGGCGGCAGGCUAAACGCAUGCAAGUCGAGCGGAGAGAGGUAGCUUGCUACUGAUCUUAGCGGCGGACGGGUGAGUAAUGCUUAGGAAUCUGCCUAUUAGUGGGGGACAACAUUUCGAAAGGAAUGCUAAUACCGCAUACGUCCUACGGGAGAAAGCAGGGGAUCUUCGGACCUUGCGCUAAUAGAUGAGCCUAAGUCGGAUUAGCUAGGUGGUGGGGUAAAGGCCUGACAAGGCGACGAUCUGUAGCGGGUCUGAGAGGAUGAUCCGCCACACUGGGACUGAGACACGGCCCAGACUCCUACGGGAGGCAGCAGUGGGGAAUAUUGGACAAUGGGCGGAAGCCUGAUCCAGCCAUGCCGCGUGUGUGAAGAAGGCCUUAUGGUUGUAAAGCACUUUAAGCGAGGAGGAGGCUACUUUAGUUAAUACCUAGAGAUAGUGGACGUUACUCGCAGAAUAAGCACCGGCUAACUCUGUGCCAGCAGCCGCAGUAAUAC